CCUACGGGAGGCAGCAGUGGGGAAUAUUGGACAAUGGGGGGAACCCUGAUCCAGCGACGCCGCGUGAGUGAAGAAGUAUUUCGGUAUGUAAAGCUCUAUCAGCAGGGAAGAAAGAAAUGACGGUACCUGACUAAGAAGCCCCGGCUAACUACGUGCCAGCAGCCGCGGUAAUACGUAGGGGGCAAGCGUUAUCCGGAUUUACUGGGUGUAAAGGGAGCGUAGACGGCGAUGCAAGUCUGAAGUGAAAGGCGGGGGCUCAACCCCCGGACUGCUUUGGAAACUGUAUGGCUGGAGUGCAGGAGAGGUAAGUGGAAUUCCUAGUGUAGCGGUGAAAUGCGUAGAUAUUAGGAGGAACACCAGUGGCGAAGGCGGCUUACUGGACUGUAACUGACGUUGAGGCUCGAAAGCGUGGGGAGCAAACAGGAUUAGAUACCCCAGUAGUC
rnacentral:rRNA from 1 species